GUAAAGAUUGAUAAAAUGAUGAAUCUGAGUGCAUUUGGCUCGAGACUUUUUGUCGAUGUGGAAAAAACCAAGCUACCUUAUUUUUUUUUGUCUGACA
rnacentral:snoRNA from 1 species